rnacentral:rRNA from 1 species
CCUUGGGUUCGGAAUAACACAGAGAAAUUUGUGCUAAUACCGGAUGAUGUCUUCGGACCAAAGAUUUAUCGCCCAGGGAUGAGCCCGCGUAGGAUUAGCUAGUUGGUGGGGUAAUGGCCUACCAAGGCGACGAUCCUUAGCUGGUCUGAGAGGAUGAUCAGCCACACUGGGACUGAGACACGGCCCAGACUCCUACGGGAGGCAGCAGUGGGGAAUAUUGGACAAUGGGCGAAAGCCUGAUCCAGCAAUGCCGCGUGAGUGAUGAAGGCCUUAGGGUUGUAAAGCUCUUUUACCAGGGAUGAUAAUGACAGUACCUGGAGAAUAAGCUCCGGCUAACUCCGUGCCAGCAGCCGCGGAAAUACGGAGGGAGCAAGCGUUGUUCGGAUUUACUGGGCGUAAAGGGCGCGUAGGCGGACACUACAAGUCAGAUGUGAAAUC